UUCAGAUUGCAGGCUGCAACCCGCCUGCAUGAAGUCGGAAUUGCUAGUAAUCGUGGAUCAGCAUGCCACGGUGAAUACGUUCCCGGGUCUUGUACACACCGCCCGUCACACCAUGGGAGUCGGUAACACCCGAAGUCAGUAGUCUAACCGCAAGGAGGACGCUGCCGAAGGUGGGAUUGACGACUGGGGUGAAGUCGUAACAAGGUAAC
rnacentral:rRNA from 1 species